rnacentral:rRNA from 1 species
GCCCAUAGGUCUCGUUGGUGACCAGCGGAGGGUCAUUACCGAGUUUACAACUCCCAAACCCCUGUGAACAUACCUUAUGUUGCCUCGGCGGAUCAGCCCGCGCCCCGUAAAAAGGGACGGCCCGCCGCAGGAACCCUAAACUCUGUUUUUAGUGGAACUUCUGAGUAUAAAAAACAAAUAAAUCAAAACUUUCAACAACGGAUCUCUUGGUUCUGGCAUCGAUGAAGAACGCAGCAAAAUGCGAUAAGUAAUGUGAAUUGCAGAAUUCAGUGAAUCAUCGAAUCUUUGAACGCACAUUGCGCCCGCCAGUAUUCUGGCGGGCAUGCCUGUUCGAGCGUCAUUUCAACCCUCAAGCCCAGCUUGGUGUUGGGAGCUGCAGUCCUGCUGCACUCCCCAAAUACAUUGGCGGUCACGUCGAGCUUCCAUAGCGUAGUAAUUUACACAUCGUUACUGGUAAUCGUCGCGGCCACGCCGUUAAACCCCAACUUCUGAAUGUUGACCUCGGAUCAGGUAGGAAUACCCGCUGAACUUAAGCAUAUCAAUAAGCGGAGGAAG